rnacentral:sRNA from 1 species
CUCAGCUCCCUGUGGUGGGGGAUGGCAGAGGCUUCCCGCUCCCCGCAGCUGGUUUGCACAGCCUCCCGACUGUGCCGUGGUGUCUCCUUCCCUAAAGUGGGACAGUCGUUUCUGUGUCCUGCUGGCCUCUGAGGAACAGAUGUGUGUGAGAGGCCUUCAGGGCCUGAUGGCUGGGGUGGUGGCAGUGCCUGGAGAAUGGGUGGGGACUGGAGGGGCCAGGUGGCUAACCACUCUCCUCUUCCAUGGCAGCGGAGCUGGAGUUCGCCCAAAUCAUCAUCAUCGUCGUGGUGGUCACGGUGAUGGUGGUGGUCAUCGUCUGCCUGCUGAACCACUACAAAGUCUCCACGCGGUCCUUCAUCAACCGCCCGAACCAGAGCCGGAGGCGGGAGGACGGGCUGCCGCAGGAAGGGUGCCUGUGGCCUUCAGACAGCUCCGCACCGCGGCUGGGCGCCUCGGAGAUCAUGCAUGCCCCGCGGUCCAGGGACAGGUUCACAGCGCCGUCCUUCAUCCAGAGGGAUCGCUUCAGCCGCUUCCAGCCCACCUACCCCUAUGUGCAGCACGAGAUUGAUCUUCCUCCCACCAUCUCCCUGUCCGACGGUGAAGAGCCACCUCCUUACCAGGGGCCCUGCACCCUGCAGCUCCGGGACCCUGAACAGCAGAUGGAACUCAACCGAGAGUCCGUGAGGGCCCCACCCAACCGAACCAUAUUUGACAGUGAUUUAAUAGACAUUGCUAUGUAUAGCGGGGGUCCAUGCCCACCCAGCAGCAACUCGGGCAUCAGUGCAAGCACCUGCAGCAGUAACGGGAGGAUGGAGGGGCCGCCCCCCACAUACAGCGAGGUGAUGGGCCACCACCCAGGCGCCUCUUUCCUCCAUCACCAGCGCAGCAACGCACACAGGGGCAGCAGACUGCAGUUUCAGCAGAACAAUGCAGAGAGCACAAUAGUACCCAUCAAAGGCAAAGAUAGGAAGCCUGGGAACCUGGUCUGAUUCCUUCCAACGUGCACUUCAGCUGGAGAAAGAAACCAAGAAGGGAAGCGGCCGCUGGGCCCCUCCUGCGCACAGUGUUGUUCAGUUUCACAUGGUACAAAUAAGUAAAACCAAAUGAGCAAACACGGUCUUUGUUUCUGAUUCCUUUUAGGGGAAUUGCAUGCAAACUAGACUGAAAUGAUACAAACUUCCAUCUGGUCUGACCGCAAACAGUGUUUAUUUGGGGACAGGGGUUGGGAUGGGGGUGUGGGCAGGGGAAAACAGAGAACGGGAUGCUUUGAAGAUAUCAUGAAAUAAAACCCACAGAGGUAUUUGAUUUAUUUAAUUGUGAAAGGAGACUUUGCAGAUAAAUGAGGCCAGAAUGGCGUGUUUUAUAAUUAACUGAAUAAAGAAGGAAGCAUUAUUAUAUAUUAUUGUGGGGAAGAACCAGCCAGUUCGCUUUUUCUCCUAAGGUGUGGAACUUUUAUUUUGUUUUAAAAAUACGAAUCAAAAUUCCUGUGUUGUGUGCCAAGGUAUAAAGUGGAGAAGUUAGAUGAGUGCAAGGAGCUCCUUUGUGUUGUGAUGAUGUGUUUUAAAAGUUGCACUAUCUUAAUGUUGAAAAUAUUUACAAGGGAACUGUUUUACGUGAAGUUCUGUAUGUUGUCUUUUCACCUGUGGAUUGUAAUCAGGCCCAAGGAAUAUCCUGGAGUGGUCCCCAGAAGCAUCCAAGAAAAGAUAUUUGGGGACGUAGCCUAACAUUUUACCAACUUACGUAAAUCAAAAAAGUCAUUAUUGUUGCAGGAGUUUGCAUCAAAUAGCAGUGCAUCGCUGAAGCUUUUGGAGACUUUUGGAUGGAAGAUAAGAUAGGGAAGAUUAAGUUCCAGCAUUUCUGACUUGUUAUUUUGAGUUACUCUGCUAAUCUUAGGCUGCAUAGUUUAUGAGAAAAUGAACACAUGCAUUUAUGGAUCCAGUAUCAUGCAGUGCUGCCCUCAUCCUCCAGCAGUGCAAUUUCUUCAGUAAUUUAGAUUUUUUUCACUAUAGCAUGAAAUAUAUUCAAAUACAUACCUUAUUUUAUGCAAUAAAUUGUUUAAAAUGCAAGGUGGUUAUUCUGCAUACUGUUGAAAUAUGUGACUCCUCAGUAUAUUCCCAUUGCCUCUCCCCUUUCCUCGACAGCUUAGUUCAGCUCUGCAGGGCUGCUCAGUUCACAGGAGGCUCCCAGCAGCCACCCCACAUCCAGCCUACACAGAACUUCGUGUGGGAGUGGUGUGGGUGGUGGUUUCUUAUGCUUUGGAAGCCCCUAGAAAUGACGGAAGAAUGCCAUGUUGCUGAUCGUGGUAAUAAGCCAUUGUGGGUUAUUGUAUGUCACUAGUAUUAGCAUAGCAUUCUUAAAGGAAUGCAGUGCUCAAAACCUACCCAAAUUCCCGCAGGAUUCUACCAAACCCUUCCCCAGGCCAGCUUUUGUACUGAAGGCAAGAACUGGACAGUCAGAGAACAGUGGAGGGGGCAAGUGACUGAAGAGCACUGGGUAAAAAGCACAACAUGCAGUUAAAAUGCAACUAGAAAACUAAUUAUAAAUAUUGUUAGUUUUAAUAUUCCUGAUAUUUACAAAUAUUCAUUCUUAUAUACAAUGAAAAAAAUAACUUUCUUCUGCAGAUGUAAGCACUGGCUUUUAUAAGAGCAGCAGCCAACACGUUUAGCAGACACUGCGCGUGGAGAAGGGCUUAUCUGCAGUACACUCUGCCAUGUGGAGGGUGGGCCUCUGUGGCCUCUUCACAUAACAAGAUGAGCUGGAAUGAUGAUUCCAUGACUCCCAUCUAUGCAGCCUUAAAGCCAAAUCCGCGUGUGUGUGUUUGUGUCUGUCUGUGGGUCUCGAAGGUGAUCCGUCGGUGCGGUGGCUCUGUGCUGUAACUGGAGAGACUGUUCCAAACCCCAAGAGUUGUCUGAUCCUAGUCUGUUCCCUUCUGCUUCUUACCUCUGUAGAUAGGUCACUGGUUUUUGUUUGUUCGUUUGUUUUGAGGAUUGGAAUUUCCAUUACAUUCAUCCUUUGCACACAGUAACAUCCACAGAACUAGUCCAACUCUUAAAAGGAGAGAGGAAAAACACAGGCACCAGUUGUCAGCUCAUGCUUACAACCUGUGUUGAAGUAUAUACAGUUGAGAGUCACAGUGGAGGUUCUGAGACUGGAUUCAGUCUUGUUCCAGUGACAGUUGGAAGGCCUCUGCUGGAGAGACACCAGCUCUCAGGGCAGAGAUUGGCUUGGGGCCAGAAGGACCCUCCCCAACCCUGGAGACACCCUGAAGGUUCACUGGCUCUCCAGAUUAGCCUCUCUUCCUCUGUCAGGCAAAGAUGAGGAGCCCGUGUUCCCAUCGGGCCCUGCUGGCAGGGACUUGCAGUGGAUUCUUGGUCAGGUGUGCCCACAGAUGCGGAGGCGAGGUGAGUGAUUCCAUCAUUUCAGUUCUCACCUGCAGUUUUGGUGAAGCAGGAGAUGCACCCCACAGCUCUAGCUCUCAAAUGGCUUCACAGUCCUUACUUCUCUACCUGCCUCAAGAAGGGGCUCAGAGCAGAGACUUGUGAAUUCCUUAGUAACUGUGAGUAUAUGAAUGUUUUGCACAUGUCCACAGUAUUGGCGAGAUAAUUACAUAAUUCAGAUACCUUUAAUCAUCUUUCAAGAAAGAGGCUCCUCCCAUUCAGCCACCCUAGAGAACUGCCUUUGUUAAAUGGUUAUUUAAAGACACACACAUAUCAAACCAUGACUUUGAAAGGUCUUCGAGGCUGGGGCUCUGUAAUGAAUUAGUUUAAAAGCCAAGGUCAUAACAUGAAUUGAUGGUCAAUUUCCCUUCAGCAGAAGGAAAAGGUGAUUUAGAUCAGUAGCUCUUUUGAAGGUUGUGGCUGACCUGUUCAUACCGUGUCGCCUCAUGGCUAGCGUGGCGUUGAAAGAGUAGCGAUUGGGAAGAUACAACUUACACAGUGGGGCCUAUUGUUCUUUCAAGAACCCUUUUUUUAGCUUAUAGAACCCAUGGGUCCAGUUUAGUAACCAGUGAUUUAGGCAAUCAAUGAUAGGUUUAUAAUCUUAGAUUAUUCCAGCAAAGUGUGGAUUGCAUUGUUAGGAAGAACAUUUGGUGGGAAUGAACACUCCUGGGCAUACCGCUGACUUUUGUCCCUUGUUCCCGGUGUAGGAGACCCAAGGCAUCUUGAAUCCCAUCUAUAAGAACACAAUCUUCCAGCAUACAUUUGCUUUUUCAGAAACUCUAGCAUUCUCUUUAAAUACUGAUGCAAUCCUUAAUGGAAAAGAGAUUUCAUGAAGCAAAUUAUGUAUUUCAAUAGUUCAUCUAUUUUUGGUGUCCAAAAUUUACUAAUACAGAAGCUUGACAAGCAUGUCCUCACCCUCCCCACCACAUAAACACAUGGACACACACCCAAGCCACAAGAAAUCCCAAGAGAGCAGAAGCGAAUUUUUAAAAGAUUUAUCGUGAGGACUGCAUUUCCAUUCACUAAUUUUGGCUCAAACUUAUGAGGCAGGAAAUAGGGGCCUCCUGUAAAUGGGGGAGGCCUCCUGACACCAGCAGAGGAAUUUUGUACCCAGGCAAGGACUUCUUGAACUUCUACGUAUCUCCGUUUGCUCUCUUUCACCUUUAUUUCAUCUUCAUAAGAAUGAGAAAGGCUCAAAAGGAAGCACUUUUAGAAAUCUUCUCUGACCUAGAAGAACCCAUCCAAAUCCCUGCCUUCCUCUCUGAACCAACAGUUCCCUUCUCUGACAGGGGCCAUCCUCUGUCUUCCAUCCAGCGGCUCUUCUUUUUAGGAAGGCUCUGGUGCAGAGCACUUCAAAUAUGUCCUCAGGCCAGAUACUGAUUGCUAGUAGAGAGACACCCAGCACCCAGUCCGAAGCCCUCCCUCAAAGGACCGGCUCAUGGCGUUGGUCACUGGCAGGCUCAGAGACAUUCUGCUGUGGGCGCAGGGAGCCCGGCCCCCCACGCAGCCAUGACUGGAUGCGCCCCCAUCUCGGGGGCUUGCUGCACUGCUUGUUUAUUGAAUUUUGCUACUUAGAAUGGCAACAUUAACUUUGUGUACCAUUCAUUUUUUAAAAAUUUUCCAAAGCUCAGCAGUGCAUGAAAGAAAAAACUGGGAAAGAUACUUGGUUUCUGUUAACUUUUGUGUUGCUUGCUUAAGUGAUUAAAGCCAGUGCUUGGAGCCAAGCCUUCAUGCCACGAACAUGCCCCACAGCCUGCCCUUUGCUCUCCUGCUCACACUGACCAAGAAUGCCACGUGCUUGGCCUACUGAGGUGAAAGGACAAUUGAAUGACAGGUGGGCAAAGGGAGAACUUCCCCUUCUUGGUGCAAGGAAAGUCACAAAUUUAAAAAUGUUGCUUCCAGCCCAGAUCCUAAAUGCUAGUUCUCAGCAGCUGCGUGGCUUACCGUUCACCAUUUCCACCACCGCCAGCUGCCAGCACCUCCACAGAUCACAGAGAUGUGAACAGACAAUGGAAAGCACUCUUAGCCUUGCAGUGGUCUACAUUUUUUAGGAACCAAUAUUUCAGCAUUCUUUAUUACCCGGCACGCUGUGUCCUUUGCAGAGUUCAAGUUUAUGUUACUGCCAGGGUCAGACAGUCAUUUGCUGCUGCUGCUGCUGCUGCUUCCCGAACUGGAUGCAUUAGGAAGCUGCUGUCUGAGUGUAGGAAUGUCUUGCUAAGAAAGCAAUGUCUUCCUUCAUCCUUUUCUUUCUUCCCUCUGCGUGUCCUUGUUUUUGUGUAAUGCGGGAGAGGGUUAGAGCUAUAGAGAUUAUAUAUACACUAUCCGUGCACAUUAUAUAUAUGUAGAUAUACCCCUAUCAUGUCAGAGAUCUGCAUGUCAGUUUUUCAGCAACUAAGGUGCCUCAUGUUCUGAGUUCAGCAGAUAUAGGAACCAAGCCGCCCCCUCCUGCACUUGAUGCUCCCACCUUUGUUGUGCCUCACUUAAAAUGGUGCUUUUUUCAGUUGUCUGUCUUUUCUUAUGUUUUUAUUUGUAAGGUGCUGUAUAUAAGUUGAAUAUAUUAUGCACAUAUCCUACCCAAUGGGUAGAACAAAAAGUUGUUAAUACUGUAAUAUAAUGUAUAGAUGAUACCAAUUUUAACAGAAAUGGCAUAGAAUUUGUGAAUGCCUAUGUGCUUUGUCCUCUUUUGUAAGGAAAUUUGCAAAUGGAUGCAUACAGAUUAAAGUCUAUGUAGUUUAUUUUCCUAUUAAAUAUCAAUAUUAUAACACAAGAGAAAGAAGUGUGAACAAACAAGCAACAGUUUAUGACCAGCGUAUAUAUAGCAAUGGCAAGUUGCAUCUUUGCUGUGAAAACACUUUAAAGAAAAUACUUUUUAAAAAAUCCCACAGCUUUUUGGUUGCCACUAGACGCUUUUUAUUUUAAUCAUUUUAGUAAUGCUCAGCUGGACCAGUGUUAGUUAUAUUUGAGUCAGAAAAAUGUUGUUUUUCAACUUGCUUUAUAAUCUCCUGCAUCUAUCUCCUGCUGUAGCAUCACGAAGGUGUCAGGCAACAGUGAAAAGUGCACAUUUUUGUUGUUGCAGAAACUGUGUCAGAGGAAUAAGUAAAUCAGCCUGCAGCAGAGGACUUUGUUCAGCUCCAGAGGCAUCUGUGACCGUCUGUGUCCAAGUCUCUCUGUGCCUUUUUCUUUUACAAACUGAAGCUGUGGAGCCAAUGAAGUAACAGUAGAGAUUGUAGGGAAAGAAUACCUCAGGAAAAACAAAUACACUUAACAAGAAGACCCUGUUCUUAGAAAAAGUGUUUAGUUAUGGGUUAGCACUAGAAGAGACUUGGCUGUCAGCCAGCCAAGUGAAGGACCUCUCAUCCAUUCCCAUUCAUGUCCCAUCAUAAUACGGACUCAAAAAGCAAACUCGGUUUUGCCAUCAGUUAGAAAUUACGUUUUGAAUUGUAUAUUGUUACAUCUCUCUUCCAGCUUAGUUUUUAGUGUCUGAUUGUGACCUCUGCAUUUAUCUUCAAAUACCCUAAUUUUAAAACAAAAGAACAAGAAAAGUUUAUAACACCAUGUUCACUAAAACCACGGUUGAAUCUUGGGUGUGGGCAUCCUUUCGAGUGUUGUCCAUAAGAGCAGUUCGUGGAAUUUUGCCCAUCUGACCCAUAUUAUCAGCUUAUUCUGCCACCAGAGUAGAGUCUAAUAAAUUCCAAAGUUUUUAUUUGCUCCAUGGUGUAUGUUCUGACUUUGAAAAUGUCAGAUUCUAUAAUCAUAUCCCUAACAUCCAGGAAACAAAUGACAGAUUAUCCUUAAACUGAAAUUGACUCUACAAUGCAACCCUUAAUGCUGAAUGGAUUAAAAGUCAGCCCUUUUAGUAUCUGUUUGAAAGGGCCGUAAAAAGUUGACACUCUUGUUGUUGUGGAUCCUGCGUGUCUAGACCCACGUGUUGUUUCCAUCGUAUACUGUAGGGUGCACCCCUUGGGAUUCAUCAUUAAGAACUGAGGCUCAUUGUUGUCAGAAACAAAGCUCCCACCCCCCAGGUUCAACCUUGUGGGAGAACUGUUGAGCAUGAGAAUGUUCUAGACUCAGAGGUACUAAAAUUUGUUACCACAUCAUUGCUUCCUUUCUACAGGACGAAUUGAGGCUUAAACUUUACUGUUAAUGAUACUGGUUCAUUUUAAUGUGCUUGUUGGUAUGUUGCUAUUUUUCAUUUCAUAGCUUUCAAAAAUCAUGCUAAUUGUAUACUUGUCUAGUUUAAGGCUAUUUUAAAAUAUGUACAAUACUAUUCACAGCAUUUAGUUCAUUUAAUUUUUAUUAUUAUAAAGCAAUCUACUAAAAAAGUACAACUGUAUUUGAACUUUUCAAUAGUUGUUUGUGAGCUAUGAUAAUCAAAAGUCAUUAAAGUCUUUUUUAACAAACAUUCGUGCUUACUUUUCAACAUAAUUCCCAGUUAUAUACAGAAAAAGAUUUCCACCUGUCACGUAUCUGCCUCUUUUACCUGAGCAAUGGUGUAGUUCUUAGACCUAAGGUCUGUAAUUGCAAUACUUUUAAAGAAAGAUGUUGCUCUAAGUGCUGUUUGUUAGUUAUGAAAUCAGAUUUUUCUGCUUGUUCUUAAUGCUGUGGUCAAACCAUAGCACAAAAUCAUUAAAAAUAAUCAGCGGCAUAC